rnacentral:lncRNA from 1 species
UAAUAAAAAAACCUCGAUUGUGAGUCAUUAUAUGGCAAUGAUCGAGCACCUUGGGAGGUUUGGCUCGGAGGCUGAGUAUUUUGAAACCCGUGUUUAGGAGCUGGCAUAGUCGAAGCUCUUUUGCCUAUGUCGAGGGUAGCCUAUUUAACGAGUUCUUUUCGAAGUAUAUUCGAUGUAAUUGAAGGCAUGUGAUUUUAUAGCGACGGUCGGGCGUCCUCGAGUCGCGUUAGUUUGGCUGGUACAGCCUUAUGACCGUAGUCAUUUGUGUUUGGCAGAGCCUUUAAGUCCAGAAUGAAGUAGUUUCGGCGUAUAUAUUGAGGGUAUGCCUUUUUAGGGGUCUUACAAGUUCGAUAUAUAGCCUUAGCUUUGAGAUCGGGUUUAUGCCGUUAGUAAGGUCUUACAAGUUUUACAUGCCUUUGAGGUCUUACAGUUUUGGAUACUUCGUACAAGUAUGGUUCAUGCCUUGCUUGAGGUCUUAUAGAUAUUAUUGUUGCCUUAUACAGGUCUUACGAGACCGAGGCUAUCCGCAUGUGGUCUUAUGGCCUCGGGCUUUGAUAAGUUGAUGGAGAAGUCUAUUGACGACAGUACCCGAGUCAUCGGGGAUUUCUUGGCUCAAGAGCCAUUACUUAUAAACUUGGUAUUGCCUCAUCAAGGGCUUAAGAUUUCGGAGUUUCCAACCCGAAGGUCACGUGGCCUUGAGUUUUCGAUGCCAGUCCCCGCGUGUUCAGGACGUUUUUGGCUCUGGAGUUCUUUUGUGAUCUCGUUGUUGCCUCAUUGCGGGUUCACGAGUUUGAAGCUCUAACCUGGGGAUCGUACUGUUCCGAGUUGUUGAUGCCAGUCCCCGAGUAUUCGGGAUGUUUUUUGGCUCUAGGACCAUUUUUUGCAAAAAUGUCGAGCUUCCUUGAAACGUAAAAUGCUUUUAGGAAGUAUUCUUUGAUUACUUGGUACAAGUAUACUUGCCUUUGUUGUUAGGGUCUCGGUUGUAUUAUGCGAACACGGUUCGUUUGACUGUUUGGCCCGCUACAUUAUUUUCCUAUCAAGAUCCCACUUAGCGUUUCUAGGCUUCUCCGAGUAGGUGACCUUCCGAGGGGAUGCCCCUCAGUGUUUGAGGUUGAUUGCAAAAGAAGCCUUGAAUACUUGUUGAGUCUUCCUUAGGUAGCAUAUGGAUGUUGCCUUGUUAAAAACCUUGUAGGUAAAACCGUUCUUGGGAUAAAAACUCGGUCGAAGGAAAAGAGUGCAACGCAUGCUUUUUGAAACCUAAGGCCUUUGAGUUAGAAAGUGCUUUGGCCAUUUCAAUCGGAUACCUACGUUCAAGUUAGUGUAGAAUUUAAUUGAAAAAAAAGAGGCUGUCAUACCUUAGUGUAGGAUGUGCCGGUGGUGUUUUGAUCCCUGAUAUGUUUCAAUCGCUUGUGAUGAAGACACGGUACGAUCCUCUGCUUUGUUCAUUCGAGUACAGCCAAGAGUGUAGCUUGUUAUCGCUAUUUUGUUGUUUGCUUAUCCUUCGGCUCCUUUGAAGGUGGAGGUACCGGUGUCGGGGCCACAUCGUGGACCGUGAACAUUUCUCUCGCCACAUGUUGUUCCCCGUUGAUGGUCUUAAUCCCAUCCUUUGUCAGGAAUUUCAUCAUUUGAUGGAGGGUGUAUGGUACUGCUCUCAUGAAGUGUAUCCAUGGCACUCCAAGCAAGGCGUUGUACCUCAUGUCUCCCUCGAUGACAUGGAAUUUGGCAUUUUGGGUUGUGCCAGCCACAUUAACUAGGAGGGUGAUUUCCCCUUUCGUUGUUUUCUCAAGCAGUCCAAGCUGCUCUACCACCCUCGACCUGAUAAUGUUAGCCGAGCUACCUGGAUCCACAAUUACACGUUUAAUUUGAAAUGUAUUUACAAGAAAAGAGAUUACUAGUGCAUCGUUGUGAGGCUGAGACAAGGUCUCGAUGUCCUCGUCGCUGAAUAUGAGAGCAUCCUCGGGUAUGUAUCCCCGAGUUCGCUUUUCUCUUGUGAUGGAUAUUUUUGUUCUUCUCAUCAUGGGCUCCUACGGGGCAUCAAUGCCUCCCAAUAUCAUGUGGAUGACAUGUUGUGGCUCAUUCAUUUCGUACUUCUUGGCCGCCUCUCAUUUCUGGAAAUGAUUUUUGGCCCGGUCGCUAGUAAACUCUCGGAGAUGACCUUUACUGAGUAGUCUGGAUACUUCUUCUCAGUGUUGGUGGCUAUCCUCGGUCCAGUGGCCGUGCAUGUUGUGGAAUUCAGACACUAAAUUAUGAUUACUUUGCAAAGGAUCUGAUUGCACAGGCCUGGGCUACCUGGCGUCUUUGAUUUUACUGAUGGCGAACAUGAUGUCUGAUACAUCGAUAUUAAAGUUGUAUUCCGACAAGCGAGGUGCCUCCGUUGGCCCUGUAUGAUUAUUGAAUCUGGCUCUGUUGAUGAGUCCUUGAGGAUUCUGGCAUCGAUCCAUCCUUCGGUCAUUGCAGGGUAUGUUACGCCUCGGGGCAUUUCUCCUAUCGUCAGUAUAUGGCUGGUACCUUUCCUUGUUUGGCUUUGGCUCAUUUUCCAGAAAACUGCUUGGGUAUACCGAGCCCGGGGGGAUCCUAGUUGGUCGUCCUUGACCCUGAUUUUCGAUUGAUAUUGGUUGUGAAUGUCCGACCAGGUCACAAUGGGAUAUUCGAUCAAAUUCUUUUUCAGCUGCUUCGAAGCCACCGAGCUUUGUCCAUUCAGACCUUGAGUGAAGGCCUGUACUGCCCAGUCGUCGGAGACUGGUGGUAGUUCCAUUCAUUCCAUUUGAAAGCGAGAUACGAACUCUCGCAACAUCUCGUUCUCCCUCUCCUAGAUUUUGAAGACGUCUGACUUCCUAGUUGCUACUUUGAUGGCACCGGCAUGUGCCUUUAUGAAAGAAUCUGCCAGUAUGGCAAAUGAGUCUAUGGAGUUAGGAGCUAGGUUGUGAUACCACAUCAUGGACCCUUUCGAGAGUGUUUCCCCAAACCUUUUUAGCAAGACAGACUCGAUCUCGUCGUCAUUUAGGUCGUUUCCCUUCACUGCACAAGUGUAAGCAGUAACGUGCUCAUUGGGGUCUGAGGCCCAUUGUGUUUCGGAAGGUUCGGCAUACUAAACUUCUUCAGAAUGGGUUUUGGAGCUGCUUCUUCUAGGAACGACCUUUGUAUAAACUUCUUUGAAUCUACACCUUUCAGGAUCAGGGGUGCGCCCGGAAUUUGGUCGACCCAGGAGUUGUAGGUCUCGAUAUUUUUGUCGUUGGCUUCUAUCUUCUUCUCGCCCGAUUUGAUCCUCUUUGUAAGGUCCUAGAGCAUAUUUACGAUGGCGGGGUCGGUUGUCGACCCGUUGUUGCUUGAUCUCUCUGGUACCUGCUCGGCUGGGGGAACCGUCCCCGAUGCUACCGUGUUGGGAGUUUUCUGGUGACUUUGCAGCUGAGAAAUCACUAGCUGUUAUGCCUUAAACAUUUCAAAAAUAACGUGAUGGUUAACCUCCUGUUCUUCCCUAUCCGGGGUUUCCUAAGCUUCUUGUUGGUCUUCUUGGUACACGCUCUUGUAAGUGUGGGAGCUUAUAUCGACGUGUUGGGCAUCACGUGAGACCGCGUACAUGGGAAUUGGUUCUGGUGCGUUCUUAGGGUUUCGUGGUGGUACACCAACACCUGGAAUAUCCACACCAUUUUCUCCAUGGUUCUUAAGAUUGUUGUUCACCGAAUCAGGCAUUUUGGCCUGAAAUCAAAGAUCUUGGGCAAGAAAAAGUGUGAAAGAUAACUUAUGUUACGUAGUAAAACCAGCAAGAAAAUAAUCACUAUAAUUCUUAGCCCCAUGGUGGGCGCCAAACUAUUUACCGUAAAAAUGGUAACAACAAUUAAAUUUGAUUUAGUGGUUCUAAAAAUAUGUGAUAUAUUUUUAUGCUAGUUGUUAAGCAGUUGAUGCUAUGUGAAAGACUUUGAAAUGAGAUAAGAGCUUGAAAGCAAGGUGAUAACCAAACCGAAUGAUUAAUAAUCAGGGCCUCGGGCUUGCCUAUUUGAGGGUCUCGGGGUGGAGUCUGGAGCUCGGCUGGGAACUAUCAAGGGUAAUCGAUGGGUGACUAACAGUAGUAAUAAAUUAAUGACGGCUCUUUAUGAACAAUAAUAAGCAAUAAAUGAUGAACAAUAAAUAGAACACAAUAAGUAUAAGCAAUAAAUGAAGCAAUGAGAUCAAGAGAAUAUGUUAGAGAGCAGAGAGAAUGUUCUUGUGUGUUUUAUAUUGAGCAGCGGAUGUUUACAAAAUGCCAAGGAUCCCCUUUAUAUAUGAGGGGGGAAUCCAACAUAGUACAAAAAAGCAUUAAUUACAAAGAUAGGGAGAUGGUACAACUAGUUAAUGCCUUGAUUCAUUUUUGGACCAGUCCACUAGACUUUGUCAGCCAUAUUCAUGCGCCUUGGGAAUUUCUCACUUUUUCAUCAUAUCCGCCGAACUGUACUGUCUCGAGGCCGACGUUGAUAGCCCCUCAAAAGUCAAUCUCAACCAUACCUCGAGCCUCUGAAAACAUGCUUACGAGGCACCAUGAUGACGGAAAGUCGGACCUUUCGAUUUUACCAUAUACAAUUAUUUAUUUUAUUUCAGAGUCACCACUUGGGAUAAUUUUAUGGUAUCCCAAGUCACCGGUUUAUUUUAAAUCCCAAAUCGAGAAAAUUGACUCUAUUUUUGGUCCUCGAACACAGAAGACCAGGUAAGAAAUUUUGUUAACCUGGGAGAAGGUGUGAGGCACUCCCGAGUUCCGUGGUUUUAGCACGGUCGCUCAACUAUUAAUAUUUGGCCUAAUUAUUUGAUUUAUUACAUGUUUUAAACCUAUUGUUCAUUUUUAACUUUAUAACCGCUUUUAUUUAUUUAUGGAAUUAUUUCUGGAACAAGUGACAAUGUCGUACACUUGUCGUUUUGGUACACAUUGCAAACCGUGUCAUAUGAAAUGCACCCGCAAUUUAUGACAUGUUUAUUUUAUUAUUAUUAUUAUUCAAAGUUGUGGUCGGGUCACAUGAAAUGCACACCCCAAUUGGGGAUUAUGUAUCGUAACUAUGCCACGGGAGUCGUACCCAUAGCCACGAUGAUUUAUUAAUCACGCCUAAAGCAAGCUAUGAUGUUCAUGAUUUUUCUAAAACUAAUUUUGAGAUUAUUGCUUAUCGGCUCCUUUAUCCAAAAUUAUUCAUUUAUCCCAAGUAAUUAUCUGAACAACCAAACAGUCGAGAAUAGAUAAGUUUUCACCGUAAACCUUAUGGCCCAUAUAUUUCUUAUACACGUACAGAAUCCCCAACCCAAUUAACAUAACCAAUUCAACCAAGCCAAUCUUUCUAUUAGUCCAUUAAACCCUCUCACUACUCUAAUAUUUUAGCUAAUAAUAAAAAAACGAAUGAUCAAAUGCAUUUAUCAUAUUAUGGACUAAUUUCUCACAGAGAACCACGAAAACACAAAAGAUAAAUAAGUAAACAAUUUAAGAUACCCAUUUUAACAUGCUAGUUCAGAGAUAAACAGUGAUAGACAUAGACCAAAAAUUUAGCAUAAGAUUUAAGAGCAACAUUAUAUCCUUACGCAUAAAACAAAAAGAAAAUAUAGGAACCAGAGAAGGAAGGACCUUUUUAUUAGACUGAAUUUAAACUUUGUUUGUUGGACAAAUUGAAACUUAAAGAGCGACCGGGCCACGAACAAGCACCUCGAUCGGAGCUCGACUGACAAAAAAUAGAUCUCAUCUCAAAUGGACCUCUCAAACUCGGAUUUUGGCUGGUUUAAAUGGUGAAGGAGACAAGCUGAUUUUGGCUGAAUUCUGAAGGGCCUUUGAGAUUUUAGCCACUGCUUUUGUUAAGGAGGUGGGGUUACGGGGUGUUGUCUUUUUAGCUGGGUUUGGAGCUUUUUUUGGGGGGGAUGGGGGUUGUUGGCUACAUGGUUCUUUAAUAGUAUGGAUAGAGCUUAUGGUUCAAUGGUUAUGGAGCAGAUCUCUUUUCUCUUCUGUUUUCACGUCCUUUUCUCCGAUCUGCUCCUCUUGUUUUCUUUGCUUUUAGCCCUUUUUAUCUUUUGUGUAGCUUUUUUACUUAUGUUCCUAG